CCAAUAGCGUAUAUUAAAGUUGUUGCAGUUAAAAAGCUCGUAGUUGAAUUUCGGGAUCAAUAUGUUGGUCGUGCCAUUGGUACGUACUGGCAUUAUUGGUUUCUACCUUCUGAAGAACCUCGAUGUCAUUAAUUUGGUGUCUUGGGGAAUCAGGACUGUUACUUUGAAAAAAUUAGAGUGUUUAAAGCAGGCUCGCGCUUGAAUACAUUAGCAUGGAAUAAUGAAAUAGGACGUUUGAUUCUAUUUUGUUGGUUUCUAGGAUCGACGUAAUGAUUAAUAGGGAUAGUUGGGGGCAUUAGU
rnacentral:rRNA from 1 species